rnacentral:rRNA from 1 species
AUUGAACGCUGGCGGCAGGCCUAACACAUGCAAGUCGAGCGGAUGAAGGGAGCUUGCUCCUGGAUUCAGCGGCGGACGGGUGAGUAAUGCCUAGGAAUCUGCCUGGCAGUGGGGGAUAACGUCCGGAAACGGGCGCUAAUACCGCAUACGUCCUGAGGGAGAAAGUGGGGGAUCUUCGGACCUCACGCUAUCAGAUGAGCCUAGGGCGGAUUAGCUAGUUGGUGGGGUAAAGGCCUACCAAGGCGACGAUCCGUAACUGGUCUGAGAGGAUGAUCAGUCACACUGGAACUGAGACACGGUCCAGACUCCUACGGGAGGCAGCAGUGGGGAAUAUUGGACAAUGGGCGAAAGCCUGAUCCAGCAAUGCCGCGUGUGUGAAGAAGGUCUUCGGAUUGUAAAGCACUUUAAGUUGGGAGGAAGGGCAGUAAGUUAAUACCUUGCUGUUUUGACGUUACCAACAGAAUAAGCACCGGCUAACUUCGUG